rnacentral:rRNA from 1 species
AUUGAACGCUAGCGGGAUGCCUUACACAUGCAAGUCGAACGGCAGCACGGACUUCGGUCUGGUGGCGAGUGGCGAACGGGUGAGUAAUGUAUCGGAACGUGCCCAGUAGCGGGGGAUAACUACUCGAAAGAGUAGCUAAUACCGCAUACGCCCUACGGGGGAAAGGGGGGGAUCGCAAGACCUCUCACUAUUGGAGCGGCCGAUAUCGGAUUAGCUAGUUGGUGGGGUAAAGGCCCACCAAGGCGACGAUCCGUAGCUGGUUUGAGAGGACGACCAGCCACACUGGGACUGAGACACGGCCCAGACACCUACGGGAGGCAGCAGUGGGGAAUUUUGGACAAUGGGGGCAACCCUGAUCCAGCCAUCCCGCGCGUGCGAUGAAGGCCUUCGGGUUGUAAAGCACUUUUGGCAGGAAAGAAAUCGCAUGGGUUAAUACCCUGUGUGGAUGACGGUACCUGCAGAAUAAGCACCGGCUAACUACGUGCCAGCCGCCGCAGUAA